GACGUAGGAUGCAAGCGUUGUCCGGAUUUAUUGGGCGUAAAGAGUUCGUAGGUGGUUUGUUAAGUCUGGUGUUAAAGAUCGGGGCUCAACCCCGGGAGUGCAUUGGAUACUGGCAGACUCGAGUGUGGUAGAGGCGAGUGGAAUUCCCAGUGUAGCGGUGAAAUGCGUAGAUAUUGGGAAGAACACCGGUGGCGCAAGCGACUCGCUGGGCCAUUACUGACACUGAGGAACGAAAGCUAGGGGAGCGAAUGGGAUUAGAAA
rnacentral:rRNA from 1 species